rnacentral:rRNA from 1 species
AGAGUUUGAUCCUGGCUCAGGAUAAACGCUGGCGGCGUGCCUUAUGCAUGCAAGUCGAACGAGGCUAGGGCUUCGGCCCGAAACCUAGUGGCGGACGGGUGAGUAACACGUACGUGACCUGUCCAGAAGUGGGGAAUAACCAGCCGAAAGGUUGGCUAAUACCGCAUGUGGUCACCCCUUGGAAGGGGAUGACCAAAGCCGAAAGGCGCUUCUGGAGGGGCGUGCGGCCGAUUAGCUAGUUGGUGUGGUAACGGCGCACCAAGGCGAUGAUCGGUAGCUGGUCUGAGAGGAUGGUCAGCCACACUGGGACUGAGACACGGCCCAAACUCCUACGGGAGGCAGCAGUGGGGAAUAUUGGACAAUGGGCGAAAGCCUGAUCCAGCCAUGCCGCGUGAGUGAUGAAGGCCCUAGGGUUGUAAAGCUCUUUUGUGCGGGAAGAUAAUGACGGUACCGCAAGAAUAAGCCCCGGCUAACUUCGUGCCAGCAGCCGCGGUAAUACGAAGGGGGCUAGCGUUGCUCGGAAUCACUGGGCGUAAAGGGUGCGUAGGCGGGUCUUUAAGUCAGAGGUGAAAUCCUGGAGCUCAACUCCAGAACUGCCUUUGAUACUGAGGAUCUUGAGUUCGGGAGAGGUGAGUGGAACUGCGAGUGUAGAGGUGAAAUUCGUAGAUAUUCGCAAGAACACCAGUGGCGAAGGCGGCUCACUGGCCCGAUACUGACGCUGAGGCACGAAAGCGUGGGGAGCAAACAGGAUUAGAUACCCUGGUAGUCC